CUGUUUUUCAGGUUAAAACUUCCCCAAAGUUCACUAAAACUUAUUUUGGUUCAAAAGUAAUACUGGAAUGUUUUGACUUCCUUCAUUAAUCUUCGGUGUGAACAGUAUCUGCUAGUUAUACUGUAGAUUUCCUCCUGUCUAAUACAUGAAUUUUGUUGAAGAGUAUCUCUAGCAUGGAAAUUCUCAUCAUAACACUCCUGUGGUAAAUCCAAAACUAAAGGAAAAUAGCAUUCUAUUUUUAUUAAAAUGCUUGCUUUAUCAAAACAAUGUAUUACUUAAUGACAGUAACAGACACAGUUCUGAUAAUCAUCAAUUAGAUAAUUUUUUUAUGUAUUUUCCAGGAAAGAGUAUGUUAAAAUCAGUCUUCCCCAAUAACUUUAUUGAAGUUAAUGAUGGCCAGAUUUCUCUUGCUGAAUGCCCUCCAGAUGAUAUCCAGGCAAAAGAGCUGACUCCCGAAGUACUACAUAAGAGCAUGGACUCUCCAUCCUCCACCAACAUCAGUUGGAACCACCCACCCAGAAUGGAAGAGAAUCAAUUGUCAGAAUUCUUAGAACUGGCCAUGUUUUGAGAUUUGGGAGAAUUGAAGUCUACAUACCUGGAAAUAUCCAACACAAGAAGAAGGUGUUACUUCAUAUUCAAUGAUAAGAUUGUCAACUGUCCAGAGCCUUUGGGAAUCCACUGCAUGCAAAUAAAAUAAAAUGAACCAAUAGUGGAUCCUUCUGCUGGAGCAGAGUUCGACCAGUGAUCUCUCAGUGCUCCAUUCCAACUCUAUAAUCCUGUCGUUAUUUCUCUGAAAGACAAGAAUACCCUGAAUAACAGUUUACACUGAAGCGAAGUGUAUUCUGUAUUUCCUUCUUAUUCAUUACACAGAAAUAAACUUUGUGGAUGUGAAUAGUGAAA